GUCCUUGUCGAGGGCGCACCUAUUUACAAGGUACGUAGGAUCAUGGACAUGCGUUCUCGGGGACGGGGUCACCAAUACUUAGUGGAUUGGGAGGGUUACGGUCCUGAGGAGAGGAGUUGGGUUCCAUCUCGGGACGUGCUGGACCGUUCGCUGAUUGAUGAUUUCCUCCGUUGCCGCCAGGAUUCCUCCUCGAGUGCGCCAGGAGGCGCUCGAUGCUGCGUGUGAGCAGGUGUCUGAGUCCGCUACGGUCGGUGCCUUCCCGAGGCAACCUACAGUUAAUGGUCGAGUCUCCAGUCUGUCCUCGUCACUACGAGUGGAUUUAAGUUUUUUAUGUUUUGUUUUCUGCUCUGAUUGUCCAGGAGUAUUGCUUAUAUCCUUUACUGGAAUAAAGACUCUGUUUUCGCCAA